AUUCAAGAAUCUUUCAAUAAUCCAGACAUUUGAGAAAUCUAACCCACUGGAACAAAAAUAAUUGUUAAAUAUAUUACUGUGAAAAACAUGUCGAAGAAAUCAUUUGUUUAUUCCUGAAAUACCAAGAAAAGGUAGGACUGCACCAACCCAGAUAGGUCCUGGCCUGUGUGUCCUGAGAUUCUCACUCCAAGAGCAGAGCAUAUUUUAUUUCUUUAACAGUUUUGAAGUUUUAUAUUUGGAUUUUUGGAACUGACUUUGGCAAUAGUUAUUUUGCCUAGUGGAAUAUGGGAAAGAUGUAUUGAUGACAUGAGGAAAAGGAAGAACAGUUUUAAUUUUAUAACUCACAGAGUCAACUAUUUCUUUCUCUUCUUUGUACCUUCAUGAUUAGACUGUCAUAUAUAUUUAAAGAUAAUAAAAUUUUUCAAACACAUACCCUGAAGGCAAGAAAACCAAAAAACAUGAAGCAGAGUGGCUCUGAGUUACUGCAAAUAUCUCCAGUGGAGGCCUUUGAAUUUUUGUGUUUUUGGAGAAAUUCCUGAAGGACAAAUAGGCACUUGAUGUUUUAAAUCGGCAGACAUUGUUUCUUUCUUGUUUUUCUGUUUUUAAACCAAUCUUUACUUAAUGAAAAUAAAAACACAGAAAGGGUAAUGUCUACUUCAAAUGAAAAGUGAAAGCAGUUAGCCCUGCAAUUUAGUAUCUAUGACUGAGGUAGGGUGACUAGAGGAAGGGAAAUUUUCUGAGUAAAAGAAGAUAGCAAGAAAUCAAGAGUGGGUUUUAGAAAAGUGAAAGGAACUAAGGCAGUGUCUGCUCUUUUAAAUGGAAAGUCUCCAUUUGUCUUGAGGAGCUCCUAUCCACAAAUGUUCAGGGGUCUCUGCUUUAAUAUUUGCAUUUUUUCCUGCGAUGGGUAAUUGCUUUUAUUUUGUUGCAGAGCCAGGUGAACAUACUUUUUCUUUUGUUUGUAUCAACUGAUUUGGUCUUUAUGCAGUGUUGUUAGUAGUUUUCUAUGAAGCCUCGUUGAAAAGAUACCACCUUUGGGUCACCGGGAUGUCCCAGUUGGUUAAGUGUCCAAUUCUUGGUUUUGGCACAGUUUAUGCUCCCAUGUCGUGAGAUCAAGCCCCACCUUGGGCUCUGAGCUCAGCACAGAGUCUACUUCAGAUUCUCUCUCCCUCUUCCUCCUGCUCUCUCUCUCUCUCUCUCCCUAUCUCAAAUAAAGUCUUUAAUAAAAUUUAAAAAAAGAAAAUAUACCAUCUUUGUGGUUACUUUAGUGUUUAUAGCAUAAAUCUCUAACAUAUCAUAAUCUACUUUAAAGUGAUAUUAUACCACUUUACAGGUAGUAUGAAAAAUUUAUAAUAGCAUAUUUCCAUUUCUCUUCUCUACUCUUUGAACUACUGUGAUAAUCCAUUUUGUUUUUUCCACUUAAUGGAAUGCUGUACACACUACAUUUAAUGGAAUAACUUGCAACAUUUUUUUUUUUUUUUAAUGAGGAACCACUUUGAAUUAUAUGGAAUAUUUUCCAAAGUAUACUGUUAAAUAAAUAAAAAAAAAAAGAAAGGUGAAGACCAAUAUGUUGUCCUUGUGUGUGUGUGUGUGUGUGUGUGUGUGUAUGUUCAGACACAUGUGUAUGCACACAAAGAUAUAGGUACAUAUAUGCUUAUAGAGAAAAAGGCCAUCUUGGAAAGAGAUAUAACAGUUCAGUAACUGGGGCAGCCUGGGUGGCCCAGCGGUUUAGCGCCGCCUUCAGCCCAGGGCGUGAUCCUGGAGACCAGGGAUCGAGUCCCACGUGGGCUCCCUGCAUGGAGCUUGCUUCUCUCUCUGCCUCUCUCUCUCUCUCUCUGUAUCUCUCAUGAAUAAAUAAAUGAAAUCUUUUCUUAAAUAGAUGAAAUCUUUAAAAAAAAUAACAGUUCAGUAACUGUUCAUAAUCACUGUGAGGAGAGGAAUUAGGGAACUUGUAUGUUUUGCAUUUUAUACCUUAUUUACACAGUAAAAUAAGUGAAUUGGUAAAUAAAUACAUGACAAAGAAAGAGAGGGUCUAUAUGGGGAGGGUUUGCACUGGAUUAGGAAAUAUUACUAGAAGUCUCUACUAUCAGACACUUGACCAUAUCAAUAGCUGAAUCAUAAGGAUCAUAGAAUGAGUUUGGUUUUAUGAAUAUUACUUUUGAAAACUCAGCUGUAGAGAUGUGAUUUGAAAGCACAAAGGAGAAAGGUAUGAGUCUGAGAUAAAUAUGUAAACUCACGUAUAGGCUCGACUGAAAUAUGAUAGUGAACACUUUCCACUUAACUAAGU
rnacentral:lncRNA from 1 species